rnacentral:rRNA from 1 species
UCCUACGGGAGGCAGCAGUGGGGAAUAUUGCACAAUGGGGGAAACCCUGAUGCAGCGACGCCGCGUGAAGGAAGAAGUAUCUCGGUAUGUAAACUUCUAUCAGCAGGGAAGAUAGUGACGGUACCUGACUAAGAAGCCCCGGCUAACUACGUGCCAGCAGCCGCGGUAAUACGUAGGGGGCAAGCGUUAUCCGGAUUUACUGGGUGUAAAGGGAGCGUAGACGGUGUGGCAAGUCUGAUGUGAAAGGCAUGGGCUCAACCUGUGGACUGCAUUGGAAACUGUCAUACUUGAGUGCCGGAGGGGUAAGCGGAAUUCCUAGUGUAGCGGUGAAAUGCGUAGAUAUUAGGAGG